rnacentral:rRNA from 1 species
GAUGAACGCUGGCGGCGUGCUUAAUACAUGCCAGUCGAGCGGAAAGACGAGGAGCUUGCUGCUCUGACGAGUGCCGCGGACGGGAGUGUCACACGAGGAAAACCCACCUAUAAGACUGGGAUAACUACGGGAAACCGGAUCUAAUACCGGAUAAUAUUUUGAACCACAUGGUUCAAUGGUGAGAGACGGCUUUGCGGUCCCUUAUCGAUGGAUACGGGCCGCAUUAGCUAGUUGGUAAGGUAACGACGUACCAAGGCAACGAUGCGUAGCCGACCGGAGAGGGUGGUCGGCCACACUGGAACUGAGACAGGGUCCAUGCUCCUACGGGAGGCAGCAGUAGGGAAUCGUCCGCAAUGGGCGGAAGCUUGACGGAGCAAGGCCGCGUGAGUGAUGAAGGUCUUCGGUGCGUAAAACUCUGUUAUUAGGGAAGAACAGAUGUGUAAGUAACUAAGAACGUCUUGACGGUACCUAAUCAGAAAGCCACGGCUAACUACGUG